GUGUAUGUAUGAGCACACCCAAACGUGUGUGUGUGUGUGUGUGUGUGUGUGUGUGUGUGUGUGUGUGUGUGCUUUCAGCAGGAGUGACUUUGUGACUGCCAGAGGAUGAUGAAGCCCCAAUUGUGGUGUGCAUGCUUGCACACACACCUACAGGGAAGUAAUCACAAGUAUGUUUGUCUUCAUGGUCACCUCUGGGUUAGAAUUUCUUUCUGCUCCAUUCUCAGAGUCACCAUUAUGUGCUUCUGAAUAAAUGAUCAGAAAUUUGGCUCCUGGAACUGUAUCUGUCCCUAUUGUCUCACCCCACCUGCAGCAAGUCACGGGAGACUAAGGCUUUAGAAAUCUUCUAAAUCUUCAGUUCCUGACCAUAGCAUAAAUGGCAAGAUCAGAUGACCUCAGGAUCUAGAGCUACCCAGAGAUCAUCACUGGGAGUGGGACAGCAGAACAGAGCCACCCCAAGGUGACAUCAGCCUGCUCAGCCUCCAUGUCUGGAAAGUUCCAUCAGCAUCCAAAGAUGCCAGUAUCCACCAUCCCUGACAGCUUGGCUUGUCAGCAGCCACAGGCCAUCUGUGGACUGACACUUGAGUUCGGUGACAGGAAGAGUGGGUCUGCUUCCAUCUGCCCUCUCUCUCCAGCUGCAGGCAGCUGCAGACAGAUGGCAACCAUCCACAGACAGAAAAGUAUAGCAGGCUGAUGGUCCUCAAGCCAGGGAGCCAAGAUGAGGAAAGCCUAGUCCAUAGGCUGAAGAGUCAUGCCAGCAUGAAGCUAUGAGACUGUGCUACUGAAAUCCCCACCUGUUCAAGGCUGCUGAGUAAGUCCAUAUAGCCUGCACCUCACUGAAAACAUCACCAAGUAGUCCCUUAGGAAAUCAAAGAAGCCCCUGUUCAGCACUAGCUUUACACGGCAGAAAAGCCAGUCCAAGUCAGUAUAUGUCCUUGAUGGGGUCAAAAAGAAGGAAAAGGGGAACCGGUUUUCUAGUUUGAUGUACUUUGGUUUUGAUUCAUUAGAACAUAUAUAAAGUCUUGUGGAAUAAAGGAAUCCAUGUAUUGUACUCAGCUGGCUUUUAUCACCAUGGCAAAGACAGACAAGUCAGUACAGUUCUAUCCUGUGUUCCGCCUUCUUCAACAGUGAGAACCAUAUUUUCUAGUCACCUACACAUGAGCAUCCUUCUCCCUCUGCUAUGGCGCUAGAGACUGGGAUGUGCUCUAUUACGAUAACACUUAUUAAGGUUUCCCUUGUUAACAUCUAACCUCGAUUUUUAGUUUUUUUUUUGUUUUUUGUUUUUUUUUUUUUUUUUUUUUGUCCAGUAGGAAACAGGAGGCAUACAGAAUUGGAACCCUUUUUACAGGCUGGCACAUUGAGACCUGCAGAACAAACUAAAUGCUCUGACACAUAGUAUGUAACUUCUCAGCUUUCAGCGUGCACAGAAGCUGGUGUGGAGAUCCACUGAGUAGAAAACUGCCCACAGACAUGCUGCCCCAUGAAGCUCAGAUGCCAGGCUGAAGCUGUAAGCAUACGUGAUGUUUCCAGUGGCUGACACAAGAGAUCCAGGCUCUAGAACUGCCAGACCACAAGCACAAACAGGUGUGGGCUACUUAAGGCAUCUCCUACAUGCUCCAGGCUUUGGGGCUGUGGCUGAGGGUGCCACAUGAGGAAAGGAAGGAGGCAAGCAUGCCUGAAGCAACAGACAAGAAUCUCAGUCCAUCUGGGAUCACUGAUUGAUCUCACACUACCCAGCUCUAGGCAACUAAAACGCCAGGUAUUGCCUGUCUUCUUUUAAAUCCCUGCUAUUGUCACUGGCCAGUACUGAAUGCCACCAGGACUUGGUCUGACCUUAUUAAUAUGCCAAUCAUUUACAGGGAUUGAGAGCCACAUGACAGCUGGGAUGGGAAGGAAGUAUUGGCAAAAGGGUGGUGAAACCUUUCAAUAAUCAGAUGCCUGGACCUUGGUCCUCUCAGUGGACUCUGGGGCUUACAGUCUCCUGCUUGACUCCUCUCACACAGAGAAACAGCCCUCCAGGCUUCUCAACACUGGGAGAGGGUGGGGACAGAAAUCAUUAAAAAUUCCUCAUGUCCUUGUCUCAGUCCAAAGAUCCAAGAUCCUUCAUAAAGUGAAAUACACAAAGGAGAAAGGGGCUUGCAGAUGAUGAGGACAACUUAAGCCUCUGAGAAUUUUCCAGCCAAGCCCAAGGCUUUCUGACAGCCAAUGGUGGAAAACCUGUGUAAGAUGUGACAGGUCACAAACCCAGACUCAGUCUUCAUAUCAGGUCUUUGCUCAGUACAUGGGAGAGAAGACCCCUGAAUACCUAGGAGUAAAAGGGACACACCAGAGGGAAGGUCUACAUAGUAGAAAAACAGGCUUCCAGCUUAGAAAUUCAGUCUUUCUCCCAACUACCUAAGACUCUGUAGAGCCUUCCCCACCCUGUCUCAUGGCUAUGAUGCUAAGACAGGUGGAGUGAAGAUGUGUUUUCACCCAAUGACUGCAUUUCAUGGACAGCAACUUUGAACUAGACAAAUUGGUCUGGAAGUCAUCAGAGGGACCUAAAGUACUCAGCAUUUAUACAUAUUCCUGUCUAAGAUGGACUUCACAUGUUGAUCUGAGCUCCUAUCUCCUGGCGGUUUUGAUACAAAUAUCCAGCAGCCUUAACUUCCAGCUCCUCCACCCUACUUACCUUCCCAUCGAUGCCCAGAUUCAAGGUCAUAAAGACUCCUGGGAUGUAUGAUGUGGCCUAGGUUUCCCAGUGUGCUUGCAUAAACAGCACACACACACACACACACACACACACACACACACACAAAUAUAUAUACAUACACACACACAUAUAUAUACAGGCACUCACAUAGGCACAUACACGCACAAACACACACAUGCACACACCACACACAUACACACACACACACACACACACACAGAGAGAGAGAGAGAGAGAGAGAGAGAGAGAGAGAGAGAGAGAGAGAGAGAGAGAAACACACACAGAAAUACUCUUAUCAAAGACCCUAAUGUCUCUUUCUACCUGUGGCAACCAACUCAGCCUCAUCAUUCGCUCCCUGGAUGCCCAGGGUCUCAGGACUAUGCUUCUCAGCGUGACAUGUUGUCAACCAUAUCCCCUUCCCUGUCCUGUCUUGAAUAUGAGCUCAGUAUUCUGCCCCUUGCAACUGUCUUCCCACCCUAGAAAUUCUGCUUAGGAAAACAAUUUAUGAACAUCAGUCUCCCUGGGAAGUACCAGGCAACAACAGCAUUAACCUGAAAAUUAUUCUGAGUUGAAAAGGUGUUUUUUCGAAGAAAUGAAAAGCUACAGACUGAGAUAGCACGGAGGCCUAACCAGGUCAAGGUUUUGUGAUCACAUUAGCCUGGUUUUACCUGCUGGGAAAGUACAUGGCUAACAAGCUGGUGCCAACCUCUGGGGAGGGAAGGCAGGGUUCGAAACAAAAGAAAAAAAUUAAAAAGAAGUACGAAGACUUUGAAGCAAGUAAAGGAUGCGAGCUAUGAGGAGCCACAGGCCUUUCGGACCCCGCUGGAGGCCUUGGGUGUCUUCUUUCCCUUCUUUCCACUAACACCAACUUUUCUUCCUCCCUAUUCCUGAUCUCAGAGGGAUGCUCAGACCUGAGAGCAUCCCUCGGAGUAAGGUAGUAAAGCCUGCCUACUGGGGUAAAGGCAACCCUAGGCAGAUGUUUAUCUUACUCUCCCAAAUAACUGCAGCUGGAUUGUCACCCUCACCUCACACCCAGGCAGGGCUUGGGAAGUGCAGGUGGAAGCCCCUUGAAAAAGUCUAUGGUAGAAUAUGACUUAUAGCUGUAAGCCAGGACUCCCUGACCCCUAGUGCUUUACGGUACUAGGAUAUCGCUAGAGGAAAGUUUCAACCCAGUUUGUAGCUUCCUUUGGGGUGCACUGUGUCCCAAACUCAGCCCAUUGGUCUUACUCACUUUCUGUCCUUAGGACAGACACAAGGGAUGCAGAGACCCUGUGAAGUGCGUCCUUUACCCAUCCUCACCACCCAGUCCUCAGGAAGGUCCUAACCCAAGCCCCUAGAACCACAGUGGGAGGAGCGAUUAGUCUUAGUCCGUGAUGAGCUUCCUCCUGAACUCUCAGGAAAGUUUCUCUUUUUGCAGAGGACCAGAAGCACCCACCUGGCUCCCUCUACCAGGCUCAAGCAGGUACUGAGCACUGGGCUCUGCCUGUGGCUUUCCCCACUCCCACUGGAACACUGGAGACCCUAGAAAAAGAAAAGGGACACCCUCCCAACUCUGAACUUGCCAGCCCCAAAAGACAUCUGGGAAUUUGGUUUGGAACCCAUCUCUUCUCAGAGAAAUAGAAUUCAAAACUUAAUGGGGAGGCAUAAAAUUUCCAAAUGAAUUAAAAUGUAUUUAAUAAAGUGGUGCAACAUUAUACAAGGGAUAUCUUUUCUUUUUUAAAAAAUCAUCAGUUUUCUCUUUCAUCCCAAUAAGUUCCUUUCUUUUUUUCUAAUUUUCUUUGUUAGCUUAGAAGAACUUUGGAGAAUUAGGUUUAAAUGAAAGGGAAGAAAACCUCACCGAGGCAUCCUGAAUAUAAAAUGAAGAAUUAUGUGCUUCACCUAUGAACGUGAGGGUUAACAAUAUUGGCAUUCAUGUCUGUACAUAUGUAAGGGAAUUUAGGUCUAAGCUAAUGUUUAACGGAAAACAUGCUAUCUCCAUUUGCAACAUGAGGAGAGAGAGGGAAGAGAGAGAGAGAGAGAGAGAGAGAGAGAGAGAGAGAGAGAGAGAGAGAGAGAGAGAGGAAGAAAUGCCCCCUAAAGGGUGAGGUUUAGUGUGGAAGACCCAGAGACCCUUUGAUGCUGCCUAAAAUGUUGGCAAGCCUUCCAAGCCCCUUCAGCAUUGUGUGAAAGAUGCCUGCAGGCAUGGUCCUCUGCUUGCAGAAGGCUCUGAAGCAAUUACCAACCCUAUUAAGAUGUGCGGGAGUCUGCAAGGAGUCUAGCAGGCUGACUGGGGAGGGUUGCGAAGGUUGCCUUGAAGCAUCUUACCUGGGUCACUGCAGACUUGGUCUGCCCAAACAAGUAAGUGCUGUGAGAAAGAGCACUGCAUUAACAUCUCUGCCCACCAUUGGGACUCUAGCAACCCUCCACUGGGAUUAGAUUUCCCAACAUUCGCCCGGCUUGGACCAGAUCAAAUCUACUAGGGAAAAUUUAUGUCUCUGCUGUGAUGUGAUGAUUAGGAAGGAGAAAGUGGAUUUCAAAGGCACAAUCUGCCCAUUUGGUGGAAGGAUAAAGAAAGGACAAGAGGUGGUGGAAGGAUUGUGUUAAGACAAAAAAAAAUGCAGUAGAGAAAAAUUCGUGAAAGAAUGAGAAGGCAAACAAGGAGGUAGGGAUCUGCAGUGGGAAUCAAGGGAAGGGUUCAGAAGGAUGGAAAAGAAGAGAGGAGAGAACGUUGGGAAGAGAGAAAAAAAAACAGGAAGGGGGGAAGAAAAAAGCAUAGGAAACAGAGACGCAGAGAUUACUACAUUCAGAAAAACAGAGACCAGUACUGAGCGGGAUGCCAGUUCCUGCUGCAGGUCCCGACAGCAGCGCUCAAGAAGGCUUUUGCGCCCCGGAGUUUAAGCCCCUCUUCUGUCACCCUUGGGACCACAGCUGGUCAAUGCCAGUUGUGCCUUUCACAGAACCAGCAGCGCCUUGCAGCACGGUGCGGAUCUCGAACCCAGCUCUCCCGAGAAGGGAGCAAAUCGCUUGCUGUGGGCAUCUGUCUGCCUGAGAGCCAGCUAGCCAGUGAGUGUGUGUGCACACGCGGCAAGCCUAUCUUACUCACAUGCCUCUUACACUCCCUCUUUUCCUCCUUGCCUCUCCCUCUUCCCCUUCUGCCCUAGCAGCGGCAUCAUUGCUCAGAGAGAGAAAACACCCUUCUUUGCUGGGUACCUGGGAUGAAGAGCAGGGCAGUGGUGGCCGAGAAGACGAUCCAGUAGGCGGGAUGGUACAUCUCGAGGCUGUGGUGCGCGGCGGCCCGGCUAGCUCCUGCUGGUGCUGCUGCUACUGCUGCUGCUACCGAGGCUGCUUCCUCUGUGCUGAAUUCUGAGCAGGUUUAAAUCCAAUGUUUGCAAAGGGAGGGAGAGAGCAGAAGAGAGAGAGAGCGCGCGAGAUGGGAGCAGGCAGACAGCGUCUCUGAUUUUUUUUCCCCUUGCACAUACACACAACUGCUAAGAAUCAUUAGCACCAAUCUUCACUGGGCGCACAGCAGACCACCUCCAAGCCACAUAUUGGCUCCACUCUCCUGAGCGACACCGGGAGACUUUCCUGUUGGGAAGGCUCCACUCCGAGGGGAGUUGAAGCCUGUCCCUUGCGCACCCCCCUCACCGCGCAGCAGUACUGCUGGGAUCUGUGAAACGGAAUCAUCAAAACUGUACUUGGAUAGCAGCAAAGUAUAAAACUAUAAGCCAAUUGGAGAGGGGAAGAGUGUGUGAGAAGACAAGAGUCACUCCUGGAGGUUCUGCCCUUUGAACCAGUAACUUGGUCAGGUGGGGAGUUUUUCGAUCGAGUGACUUCCUAUGCAUCCCAGCCUUGCCUUCAACUUACUCUGUAGUCCAGUCUGGCCUUGAACUCUGGAUGCUCCUCUCUCAGAACACUCAUGUUAGAAUAAAUAGGAACCACUUUGCCCAGCAUAUUUUUUACACAAAGAACAUUAGUGAAGAAUCUGCCUUUUGAUGCUUCAUGCAACCAUUUACCCAUUCACUGAUGAAAUGUUUACUAGAAGACUAGUAUGGCCCCUGUACAUGUGCAACGUGCAGGAAAUAGAAUCCAUUUCUGAGACUCUUCCCAUCCAUCCAAAUUCCAUCCGCACAGCAGUAUGGAAGACAAAGUGUCAAACCACCAAUUAUACCACUGAUUACUUUUAUGGCAAGUGCUUGUAAAACACUGGCUCCUAGAAACACAGAAAGCAGUUUCCCUAGUGAGAAGGAGGUGAGGUCAGUGUUGGAAACUUCCCUGGGAUCCCGAGAGAAGGUGCCAUGGGGGCCAGCCAGCCAAAAGCAUCCACUGAAGUACAGCUCAUCCAAAAUCCCCAAAGCAAGGGCUCAACUGGGAUAAGACUAAAGCACUCAGUUCAGUCCACUUUCAUGCAGCCUCUUUGUCGAGACUGGCUCUGCUACAGGAAGUGAUAAGCAAUGGAUGGGCACACAUGGAACCUGAUACACGCUAAGGAUGGAUUGCAGAUAUAGGAACACUUGGGAUUUUGUUUCACUUUUGCUUGGAGGAAGUAAAAAGAGGAUGAAAUAACACUGACAAUUAAAAGCUUACUCUGCCAUCCCAGCUCUACCUAUUCUGAAAUGCACUGGAGUCUGCCAGACUGCACACGAUUCCCUGAGAACAUCCUAAUGGCUCCAGGAUGCCCAUUAGCUUUUGUAAACCACAAAGGUCCCACUUGAUUCAUAGGAACAACAAUUGAUUACCUGACUAGCUUAGGACUGGAGCAGUCCCACUGCUUACACUAGGUGUCUUUAGAGAAUCGGAUCUUAAUCUCUAUAUGGUGCUUCCCAAACUUGUUAAUGUCUUCAUGAAAUAUCAUGCUUGUCAGUCAAUCUUAACAAUAACUAUCAUGUAUGAAAUACCCAUAACAUGCCAGUGUGCCGGACUAUCAGCUAACAUGUGCUGUGUCUACUCUCCCUUCCCACCAUAUUUAUGACUGCUACAACUCACACUUUAUGGAUUUAUGAGGUAUGAUAUAUCCUCAAGGUCACCAAUGUAGCUGAGAUAAUUCAGCGCUGUCUAACUCCAAAGACCAAAUUCUUGCCAUGUGAAUUCUGGGAUCUUUAAUACAUGAAACCAUGGCAUGAUGUCGGCACCAUACAUUUUUAAAAUUUAAAAAAUACUUUUAUCAAAGUAAUUUCUUCUUGUUUUACCUGGUUACCAGUGCUUAAUACUUGGGCUGAAGGAAAAUCGUAUCCCAGACAGAAGCCACCAGACCCAUCCCCUUUACCUGCUAUGUGUUUCCCCUGGGCGUGGCUUCUCUCCUAUUGCUUAAUUGUAAUGAUGUUAAGGUGACCUGCUGGCUCACUAACACAGAGGAUGGAUGUUGAGUUAGCUCCUGCUGAGCCCACCACCAGCCCUACUGCUCUCCUCCCCCAUCAACCCAAGUUAAAUCUGUCAAGAAGUUUGAAUGAGUCCAUCUUUGAUUGGCAGUGUUAUGAGUGUUAACUAUUGUCCUCCUAAUCAAUCAUUUCGCUUUCCCUUUGAAAUAUUUGUAAAGAGAUGCAUGGAAGCUAUCAGCUCCCAGGAAAGCAACAAUGCCCGUGUGCCUGAUAGUCGGCUAAGAUACACUGUGUCAGGCUUCUCACACACUAGGCAAAUGCUCGGCCACUGAGCUGUCAAUAAACUUUUCCAUA